rnacentral:rRNA from 1 species
GACGAACGCUGGCGGCGUGCCUAAUACAUGCAAGUAGAACGCUGAAGAGAGGAGCUUUCUCUUCUUGGAUGAGUUGCGAACGGGUGAGUAACGCGUAGGUAACCUGCCUUGUAGCGGGGGAUAACUAUUGGAAACGAUAGCUAAUACCGCAUAACAAUGGAUGACACAUGUCAUUUAUUUGAAAGGGGCAAUUGCUCCACUACAAGAUGGACCUGCGUUGUAUUAGCUAGUAGGUGAGGUAACGGCUCACCUAGGCGACGAUACAUAGCCGACCUGAGAGGGUGAUCGGCCACACUGGGACUGAGACACGGCCCAGACUCCUACGGGAGGCAGCAGUAGGGAAUCUUCGGCAAUGGGGGCAACCCUGACCGAGCAACGCCGCGUGAGUGAAGAAGGUUUUCGGAUCGUAAAGCUCUGUUGUAAGUCAAGAACGAGUGUGAGAGUGGAAAGUUCACACUGUGACGGUAGCUUACCAGAAAGAGACGGCUAACUACGUG